UUGCAUAUCAAAAAGCGGAGGAAAAGAAACCAACAGGGAUUGCCUUAGUAACGGCGAGUGAAGCGGCAAAAGCUCAAAUUUGAAAUCUAGCACUUUCAGUGUUCGAGUUGUAAUUUGAAGAAGGUAACUUUGGAAUUGGCUCUUGUCUAUGUUCCUUGGAACAGGACGUCACAGAGGGUGAGAAUCCCGUGCGAUGAGAUGUCCAAUUCUAUGUAAAGUGCUUUCGAAGAGUCGAGUUGUUUGGGAAUGCAGCUCUAAGUGGGUGGUAAAUUCCAUCUAAAGCUAAAUAUUGGCGAGAGACCGAUAGCGAACAAGUACAGUGAUGGAAAGAUGAAAAGAACUUUGAAAAGAGAGUGAAAAAGUACGUGAAAUUGUUGAAAGGGAAGGGCUUGAGAUCAGACUUGGUAUUUUGUGUUCCUUAUUCUUUUUGGAUUUGGUUCCUCACAGCUUACCGGGCCAGCAUCGGUUUGGAUGGUAGGAUAAUGACAUUGGAAUGUAGCUUUGCUUCGGUGAAGUGUUAUAGACUUUGUUGAUACUGCCUAUCUAGACCGAGGACUGCGUCUUUGACUAGGAUGCUGCG
rnacentral:rRNA from 1 species